rnacentral:rRNA from 1 species
GACGAACCGAGCGAACGUUGUUCGGAAUCACUGGGCUUAAAGGGUGCGUAGCGGGCUGCCAAGUUUGAGGUGAAAUCCUCCGGCUUAACCGGGGAAGUGCCUUGAAUACUGGCGGUCUGGAGGGAGGUAGGGGCGUGCGGAACUAACGGUGGAGCGGUGAAAUGCGUUGAUAUCGUUAGGAACUCCGGUGGCGAAGGCGGCUUCCUGGACCGAUUACUGACGCUGAGGCGCGAAAGCUAGGGGAGCAAACGGG